rnacentral:lncRNA from 1 species
AUGUGGAUCCAGGUUCCCAUCACGGCUCCAAGACGUGCACCACAGAGGACGUGUCUCACAAAGCCACGAUUGAGGAGCUGCGGAGCAGAUGUGGGUGCUGUUCGACGUGCGGCCCGAGUGCCAGCACCUCUUCUACCGGGGCAAGCAGUUUGAAAAUGGAUAUGCCUUAUUUGACUAGGAUGUUGGACUGAAUGAUAUAAUUCAGCUGCUAGUUUGCCCAGACCCUAAUCAUCUUCCUGGAACAUCUACACAGAUUGAGGCUAAACCCUGUUCUGAUAGUCCACCUAAAGCAAAGAAAGCUCCAAGGGUGGGACCUUCCAGUCAGCCACCUACAUCAGCUCGUGCCCAUCUUACUGAUCCUAGCUUUGGACUAUAUAAGGUAAAUGAAUUGGUGGAUGCCAGAGAUGUUGGCCUUGGUGCUUGGUUUCAAGCACACAUACCUAGUGUUGCUAGAGCUUCUGAUGGACAGUCACGUGGCAAAACUCCACUGAAGAAUGGCAGUUCUUGUAAAAGGACUAAUGGAAAUAUACAUCAUAAAUCAAAGAGAACAUAAAUAAAUUGGACAAUGUACUCUCUACAUCUAAUUCAGACUCUGUCGCUGCCGAUGAAGACGUUAUUUACCAUAUCCAGUAUGAUGAAUACCCAGAAAGUGGUACUCUAGAAAUGAAUGGCAAGAACCUUAGACCAUGAGCUAGAACCAUUUUGAAAUGAAAGGAACUAAAUGUUGGUGAUGUGGUAAUGGUUAAUUAUAAUGUAGAAAGUCCUAGACAAAGAGGAUUCUGUUUGAUGCAGAAAUUACCACAUUGAAGGCAAUCUCCAGGACCAAAAAUGAACUUCGUGUGAAAAUUUUCCUGGGUGUGGGGGGGUUCUGAAGGGGCAUUAAAUGAGUGCAAAAUAAUAUCUGUAGAUGAAAUCUUCAAGACUGAGAAACCUGGAGCCUAUCCUCUUUCGUUUGCAGAUGUAAAGUUUUUAAGGAGAAAUAACUCUGAAUAUGACCUGUGUGGUGGAGACCCAGAUAAGAAAUGCCAUUCUUGCUUCUUUCAUGUAUAUGGUGGGAAACAUGAACCCAACAUGCAGCUUCUAUGUGAUGAAUGUAAUGCGGCUUAUCAUAUUUACUGCUUGAAUACACCUUUGGAUAAAGUCCCAGAAGAGGAAUACUGGUAUUGUUCUUCCUGUAAAACUGAUUCCAGUUAAGUUGUAAAGGCUGGUGAAAGACUCGAGAUGAGUGAAAAGAAAGCAAAGAUGCCAUCCGCUAGUACUGAAAGCCAGAGAGACUGGUGCAGGAGAAUGGCUUGUGUUGGUCAUAUGACAGAAUGCACUAUUGUCUCUUCUAAUCAUUAUGGACCUAUUCCUGUUGGAUCAACUUGGAGAUUUAGAGUUCAGGUGAGUGAAGUAGGUGUUCACAGACCCCAUGUUGGUGGACUUCAUGGUCGAAGUAAUGAUGGAGUUUAUUCUCUUGUCUUGGUUGGUGGAUUUGUGGAUAAAGUUGACCGAGGUGAUGAGUUCUUGUACACUGGAAGUGGUGGUAAAAAGCUUGCUGGUAAUAAAAGAAUUGGCACACCUUCAGCUGAUCAAACAUUAACAAACACAAACAGGGCAUUGGCCCUAAACUGUGAUGCUACAUUGGGUGAUAAAAUUGGAGCAGAGUCUUGGAAUUGGAGAGCUGGUAAGCCAGUCAGAGUGAUAUGCAGUUUUAAAGGGAGGAAGAUCAGCAAAUAUGCUCCUGAAGAAGGCAACAGAUAUGAUGGCAUUUAUAAGGUAGUGAAAUACUGGCCAGAGAUUUCAUCAAGCCAUGGACUCUUGAUUUGGCGCUAUCUUUUAAGAAGAGAUGAUGUUGAACCUGCUCCUUGGACCUCUGAAGGAAUAGAAUGGUCAAGGAGAUUAUGUCUACAUUUACAGUAUCCAGCAGGUUACCCUUCAGAUAAAGAAAGGAAGAAGACUAAAGGACAGUCAAAGAAGCAGGCCAGUGGAACCACAAAAAGGCCGAUUUCAAAUGUCUAAGUGCCUCCAAAGUAUACAAAGCAUCAGAUUCAGCAGGAGCAAUUGAGGCUUUUCAACUAACUCCUCAACAGCAACAUCUCAUCAGAGAAGACUGUCAAAACCAGAAGCUGUGGGAUGAAGUGCUUGCAUAUCUUGUGGAAGGACCAAAUUUUCUGAAAAAAUUGGAACAAUCUUUUAUGUGUGUUUGCUGCCAGAAGCUAGUUUACCAGCCUGUGACAACUGAGUGCUUCCAGAAUGUCUGUAAAAAUUGCCAACAGUGCUCCUUUAAGGCAUAGGUUUUCUCCUGCCCUGCUUGCUGGCAUGAUCUUGGCCAGAAUUAUGUCAUAAUUCCCCAUGAGAUUCUGCAGACUCUACUAGACCUUUUCUUCCCUGGCUACAGCAAAGGA